rnacentral:rRNA from 1 species
UCUUCGGCAAUGGACGAAAGUCUGACCGAGCAACGCCGCGUGAGUGAAGAAGGUUUUCGGAUCGUAAAACUCUGUUGUUAGAGAAGAACAAGGACGUUAGUAACUGAACGUCCCCUGACGGUAUCUAACCAGAAAGCCACGGUUAACUACGUGCCAGCAGCCGCGGUAAUACGUAGGUGGCAAGCGUUGUCCGGAUUUAUUGGGCGUAAAGCGAGCGCAGGCGGUUUCUUAAGUCUGAUGUGAAAGCCCCCGGCUCAACCGGGGAGGGUCAUUGGAAACUGGGAGACUUGAGUGCAGAAGAGGAGAGUGGAAUUCCAUGUGUAGCGGUGAAAUGCGUAGAUAUAUGGAGGAACACCAGUGGCGAAGGCGGCUCUCUGGUCUGUAACUGACGCUGAGGCUCGAAAGCGUGGGGAGCAAACAGGA